UACGAAGGGGGCUAGCGUUGUUCGGAAUUACUGGGCGUAAAGCGCACGUAGGGCGGAUAUUUGAAGUACAGGGGUGAAAUCCCGGGGCUCAACCCCGGAACUGCCUUUGAUACUGGUAGUCUUGAGUUCGAGAGAGGUGAGUGGAAUUCCGAGUGUAGAGGUGAAAAUUCGUAGAUAUUCGGAGGAACACCAGUGGCGAAGGCGGCUCACUGGCUCGAUACUGACGCUGAGGUGCGAAAGCGUGGGGAGCAAACAGG
rnacentral:rRNA from 1 species